rnacentral:rRNA from 1 species
UACGUAGGGUGCAAGCGUUGUUCGGAAUUACUGGGCGUAAAGCGCGUGUAGGCUGUUCGCCAAGUCUGAUGUGAAAGCCCUGGGCUUAACCCAGGAACUGCAUUGGAAACUAGCGAACUGGAGUCCGGGAGAGGGUCGCGGAAUUCCUGGUGUAGAGGUGAAAUUCGUAGAUAUCAGGAGGAACACCGGUGGCGAAGGCGGCGACCUGGACCGGUACUGACGCUGAGACGCGAAAGCGUGGGGAGCAAACAGG